rnacentral:rRNA from 1 species
AUUGAACGCUGGCGGCAGGCCUAACACAUGCAAGUCGAGCGGAUGAAGGGAGCUUGCUCCUGGAUUCAGCGGCGGACGGGUGAGUAAUGCCUAGGAAUCUGCCUGGUAGUGGGGGAUAACGUCCGGAGACGGGCGCUAAUACCGCAUACGUCCUGAGGGAGAAAGUGGGGGAUCUUCGGACCUCACGCUAUCAGAUGAGCCUAGGUCGGAUUAGCUAGUUGGUGGGGUAAAGGCCUACCAAGGCGACGAUCCGUAACUGGUCUGAGAGGAUGAUCAGUCACACUGGAACUGAGACACGGUCCAGACUCCUACGGGAGGCAGCAGUGGGGAACAUUGGACAAUGGGCGAAAGCCUGAUCCAGCCAUGCCGCGUGUGUGAAGAAGGUCUUCGGAUUGUAAAGCACUUUAAGUUGGGAGGAAGGGCAGUAAGUUAAUACCUUGCUGUUUUGACGUUACCAACAGAAUAAGCACCGGCUAACUUCGUG